UAGCUCAGUUGGUAGAGCAGCGCUUUUACACAGCGAAGGUCGGGGGUUCGAAUCC
rnacentral:tRNA from 1 species